rnacentral:rRNA from 1 species
UACGUAGGCAGCGAGCGUUGUUCGGAAUUACUGGGCGUAAAGAGUGUGUAGGCGGUGCUCCCAGUCUGUUGUGAAAUCUCCCGGCUUAACUGGGAGGGUGCAGCGGAAACUAGAGUGCUAGAGGGUGGGAGAGGUAAGCGGAAUUCCUGGUGUAGCGGUGAAAUGCGUAGAUAUCAGGAGGAACACCUGUGGUGUAGACAG